rnacentral:rRNA from 1 species
UUCCUUCGGGAAGCGAGCGUACACAGGUGCUGCAUGGCUGUCGUCAGCUCGUGUCGUGAGAUGUAGGGUUAAGUCCCGCAACGAGCGCAACCCCUGCAUUCAGUUGCCAUCGGGUGAAGCCGGGCACUCUGGAAGGACUGCCAUCGACAAGAUGGAGGAAGUGGGGACGACGUCAAGUCAUCAUGGCCCUUAUGUCCAGGGCGACACACGUGCUACAAUGGCCGGCACAACGGGAAGCGAGUUCGCGAGGACGAGCGGAUCCCUUAAAGCCGGUCGCAGUUCGGAUUGAAGUCUGCAACUCGACUUCAUGAAGCUGGAAUCGCUAGUAAUCGCAGAUCAGCCAAGCUGCGGUGAAUACGUUCCCGGGCCUU